UCUCGAUUCUAUUUCGUUGGCUUUCGGAGUCGAGGUAAUGAUUAAUAGGGAUAGACGGGGGCAUUCGUACUGCGACGUUAGAGGUGAAAUUCUUGGAUCGUCGCAAGACGAACUACUGCGAAAGCAUUUGCCAAGAAUGUUUUCAUUAAUCAAGAACGAAAGUUAGAGGUUCGAAGGCGAUCAGAUACCGCCCUAGUUCUAACCAUAAACGAUGAUGACCAGCGAUCCGUAGUCGUUAAAUGAAUGACUCUACGGGCGGCUUCAGAGAAAUCAAAGUCUUUGAUUUCUGGGGGGAGUAUGGUUGCAAGGCUGAAACUUAAAGGAAUUGACGGAAGGGCACCACCAGGUGUGGAGCCUGCGGCUUAAUUUGACUCAACACGG
rnacentral:rRNA from 1 species